CGAGCACUGCUAUCAUCUACCUCCAGCCACCAUCAUGAUUAUCUCUGACAAUUACAAGAUCUGAGAUACUGCAAACAGGCUGUGCCUGGAGGGGGAGAGGAAGAUGGUCAGUAAGACAUAGGGUAAUAUUGAUGACUUGCUCAUUGGUGGAAAUGCCUCUACUGAAGGACCCAAGGGUGAAGGUACUGAAAGCACAGUAAUCACUGGUAUUGAUAUUGUCAUGAACCAUCACUUGCAGCAAGCUGGCUUCAUAAAAGAAGCCUACAAGAUGUAUAUGAAAGAUUACAUUAAAUCAAUCAAAGGCAAACUUGAAGAAUGAAGACCAGAAAGAGUAAAACCUUUUAUGGCAGAAGCUGCAGAACAAAUCAAGCACAUACUUGCUAAUUUCAAAAACUACCAGUCCUUUACUGGUGAAAACAUCAAUCUAGAUGGCACAGUUGCUCUGCUAAACUACUGUAAGGAUGAUGUGACCCUAUAUGUGAUUUUCUUUAUGGAUGAUUUAGAAAUGGAAAAAAAU
rnacentral:lncRNA from 1 species